rnacentral:rRNA from 1 species
AUACGGAAGGUGCGGGCGUUAUCCGGAUUUAUUGGGUUUAAAGGGAGCGCAGGCGGAGAUGCAAGCGUGACGUCAAAUUUCGGGGCUCAACCCCGUCUCGCGUCGCGAACUGCGUCCCUUGGUUGCGGGAAGGGGAGGCGGCACUCGGGGUGUAGCGGGGGAAUGCAUAGAUAUCACGAAGAACUCCGAUCGCGAAGGCAGCCUUCCGGCCCGUCAACGACGCUCAUGCUCGAAGGUGCGGGUAUCAAACAGGAUUAGAUACCCUGGUAGUCCGCACAGUAAACGAUGGACACCCGCGGUUUGGCCUGUAUGGCUGAGCCGCCAAGCGAAAGCGUUAAGUGUCCCACCUGGGGAGUACGCCGGCAACGGUGAAACUUAAAGGAAUUGACGGGG